rnacentral:misc_RNA from 1 species
AUCCGAUCACGGACCACCAGGCCUCGGUCAACGGAAUUAUGGAAUCAAGUAUCUCAAACAAUCAUCCGUAAAAUAAUGAACCGUGCCCGCGAUUUCCACCUCGAAUACACACACGCGCAUGUGCCGUAUAAUAAUUAAAAAAAUUAACGGCUUUCUCUUGCUGAUUUGCGUCAUUCAUUUUAAAAAAGAGGUCUCUUUCUCUUUCCCUUUCACCCUCUCAUAUUUGCCUUGCGAUUCGCUCGGAUCUCAAAAACCAUCCGUUCAUCCUUUCUUUUUGCCCUUUUCAUUUUCUUCUUCCCCUAUCCUUCCAUCGCUCGAUAUUGAGAGCUCAAUUCGCCUCCAGAGAAGCUCUCGAUCCAUCGAGCAAACAAUCACCUACUAAGAGAGGGAGGAGACAAUCUUCUGUUAUGUAACGAUCCAAUUCAGUAACAAUAUAAUUAAUAAUAAAUAAAAAAA